rnacentral:rRNA from 1 species
AUUGAACGCUGGCGGCAGGCCUAACACAUGCAAGUCGAGCGGAGCGGCGGACGGGUGAGUAAUGCCUAGGAAUCUGCCUGGUAGUGGGGGAUAACGUCCGGAAAAGGGCGCUAAUACCGCAUACUAUCAGAUGAGCCUAGGUCGGAUUAGCUAGUUGGUGGGGUAAAGGCCUACCAAGGCGACGAUCCGUAACUGGUCUGAGAGGAUGAUCAGUCACAGUGGAAUUGAGAAACGGUGCAGACUCGUCCGGUAGGCAGCAGUGGGGAAUAUGGGACAAUGGGCGAAAGCCUUAUCCAGCCAUGGCGCGUGUGGGAAGAAGGUCUUUGGAUUGUAAAUCACUUUAAGUUGGGAGGCGUUACCAACAGAAUAAGCACCGGCUAACUUCGUGCCAGCAGCCGCGGAAAUUA